ensembl:lncRNA
UCUGAAAUUAAGACGUACACUAUGUAUAAAUGUAUUUUUAUAUAAAAGUGAAUGUAUAUUCCAUCAUAAACAAUAUUCUUAUGUUUUUGUUUUUUAGAUGCAACCCCAAAUACAAACGUUCUUGGCAGCAGAUAAAGAAAAAAUGUAAAAAAUAUAAUUCAAAUUGGUGAGUAUUUACCGUAACCUUUUAUUUUCAAGAACCCGUCACAAUUUUUUUUUUUUUUUUUUUUUUUUUUUUUUUUUUUUUGCAGCGAACAGUAAAAAGUGUGAGAUUCGGAAAAUACAGUGUGGCGGAGGAUUUGGCUCCGAGUAGCAAUAAGGGGUGGCUGAUUAUGGACGAGAUUACAGGUGCUGUAGAAUCUGACCCUGGUGCUGGCUCCUCUAAGCAAGUGACACUGGUAGAGGGUAAUGCAGUGUCCCUGUUGAAGCCAGCGCACGUUCACACAGCCUCCCACACAGAGGUGAGCAUGCAGCAGACCGAACACUAUGAAUAAACUUCACAACAGUUAUGCUUCAAUUUGCCCAUUUUAUUUAUUAAGGUGAAGGAAAUGAAGAGACCCUCUUCACAAGUAAUGUGUACAAGGUAUGUGGUUUAAACUCUUGACACAAAUUACAGAAUUACAGCCAGUCCUGUGCCUGUAAGUCAUGCCAUUUGUGAUUUGAUUUACCUAAAAAUUAGUAAUUGUUUGUGGUGGAAUUUAUUUAUUUAUUAUUAUUUUUUUUUAAAAGGUGGAAACUGACUCCGUCUGGACUGCACAUUAAAGGAGCUGGACUGUAAGCUGAGGAGCCUCCAAAUAAAAUAAAUAAAUUGGAGGUCA